AGGAGGAACAGCCCCAGUGGCGGGGCCAGCUCUGGAGCCCUGGAUUCAGCCCCUGCAGUAGCUCCGGAGCUCUCGGUCUGCAGGGCCUGGAGGCUCCGGGGCGGG
rnacentral:pre_miRNA from 1 species